GGAGACCUACGCACCGUCCUUGACUGCGGAAACAAUAGCCCCCGUCUGGUUCGUCUCGCAGUCGCCGCCUCCUCACUCUUGCCUUCCCCACCAUCGUCAGGUUCUCGAGCCGACGCUUCGGCUCAACCUCACGGUCAUCCUCCUGUACAUACUGACCUCAACCACGGAUCCUGAUCCUGACACUGCGUUCCCGAUGUGGCCUUCCUCCUUCCUCUUUUCCCCCACCCCAGACAUGAGAGAGGAACAAGCCCCUCGAUGCGAAGGAUGGGGAGUGGAGCAUGGUGUAGCAGGACCCCUGGCUGCCGGAUCCUUGGAAGUCCGACCGCAAGAUCCGCGACACAACAGCUGUCUCCGGUCAUGUUAGCUUCUGGCUGCCGCGCACGGUUUUUUCCUGAACCCAUUAGCGUCAACCAUUGCUGUGCCUGUCUGCCUGCGUCAACGAUGCACGACCCCUGCUCACGGUUGAAUUUGCUAUCUUCACAAGAGACAACGUCAGCUAGCUUCCUACCUUAUGCUCAGCUCUCAAUCUGACAAUCUCCUCGGCGUUGCAUCCAGAUGGCAAAGUUUGGAGAGGUCAGGGGUGCCUCUGCCUUACUGAUUCGUUUAUUUCUUUUUCUGUUUAUUAUUACAUUUAGUUUCUUCAACGCUUCUUUUGGUAUAUGGUGAUUGGUGAAUAUAUAUUAACUUAAGCUCUGUCUCAAUCCCAAUUCUUAGCGCAAUCCGCCAUAUUACCCAAAGAUUUAUGCAUCGUGCCAAGUUCUUCCACUGCUAAUCCUUCAGGAAUGUUUUGUUUGUAAACAGAUUUGAUGCUCACUGUCUAUCCUUCCUAGAAGAAGUUAAUUAGUAAAGAUUGCUGCAAACCAGAAUUCUAUUAGCAUCAUGCAUAUAUGCUGAGUUUUUCUCAUAUCACAUUAUCUACUCAACAACUGCUUCUACUUUAUAUUAGGAUAUAAUACCGUGAUACCUAAUUUAGCAGUUCACAACAUAGUUCUGCUUUUAAAGAUUGCCUUUUCACUUUUCCUGUUGUACAAUUGUCUGAUCAGAAAUAAAGCAUUGUCUGAUCGUUAACUAUAUUGUUCCAUAUAAUUGUCAUUGCCUCCAUCAGAUUUUAUUCUAGAAAAUAUAUGCCUUCCAAAGGUUAGUGGUGAGCACACGAAUUCUUUCCUGCUGUCAAUGCAAGAAGGAGGCAGAGUAGUGUGUUUUUGAGCAAGUAUGCUAAUAAGGUUCAACGAUGGACAGUCCACAUAUAUUUGGUGAACAGUCUAUCUAUAGGAUUAAGAAGAAGCAAUUCAGGUCAGCUGAUGGCUUUGAUGACCCCUUUUGGUGAUUAUAUAUCAAUUGUUGAUCUCUACAUCUGCUCGUUAAGUUAGCUUAAGAAGGUCUCUACUCCUUUUUCCCUCAAGUUUUUUUUUGUUGAUUGAUAUCGGAUACUUGCAUAUUAUAGUUGUUCUUUAGCCCUCAGCCAUUGUAUAUGUGUUCAAAAUUAUAUACGUAAGCAUCAUGUCUACUUGAGCUUGUAGAAGCAGAUUUUUUUCCCACCAUAUGCAACUCACAGAUGGGAUGGGGCUUUCCUCUGCUUUAAAGGGAUAGUUGCCGACUACAGUUACAACAACAUGAAGGCACCUCCAAGAGCAGCAUGAAGCAGAGCCAUUAAGUGAAACCUUAUGCGUCUGUACCUUAUACCGUAUUUGUGAGCUAUUAUUAGUUGUUUCAUUUUCGCAACCAUGGUGAACUGAAAUCUUUUUGCAUAUGAGUAGAUUUUCAAAAGGUGAAAGAUGUAAUUUGCAUUAUGCUGGAAUUGUCUUGAAUUGAUGCUUAAAUAUUAUUUUUAGAGUUUUGAUCCGGUGGUCCAUUCCAUGAAGUUUGCACGAAUAUUAAAGCACUUGACUAUUAAUUUUAUCAUUUUUUCUUAAUGGUACUGUCUGGGCCUGGCCCUAUCCGUACCCUAAUGAGGCCCGGUCGAAGGCCAAAUCCUGUUACCCAGGAACCACCGAACCAGGCACGCAACCAGCAGAUCCAUUCCUCAUCUCGUAUCUUUCCAAUCCCCUAUCACUCUCCUACCAGGAGGUGUGCACGAGCACGGCGGCGGCGGCGGCGGCGACGUGCAUCAGCGGCUAACCGGCUAGAACAUGGUGACAGUCACGAUACCGUGGCCGCUGCUUCGCGACGCUCCCUCCCAGGCGUCCAGGUGCGCCAACAUAGCUCACCCCUGUUUCGAUAGUAGCAGCAGCGAGGAUCCCCUCCCCAUCCUGAUCCGUUUUUGACUUUUGUUGUGUACGGCAGCAGCUUCAGCCCUCCCUGAUUAAAUCCCAUGUCAUUCUCCCUCAAUCCCUCCCCAUUUUCCGUGAUUUCGUUUUGUACCGUGAGGCGCGCGCCGCGACGGCGGUGAGCGGCUAGCUGGCUACUGCACGGCGACGGCCUCGACACCGUGGCCGCUGCUUCGCCGCGCUCCCUCGACGGCAUCCAGCGCCACCACACCAGCCUUACCUUGAUCCGAUUUAGUCAGCAGCUGCGGCGUCUGGCGUCCGCAGUGACAGCGUGCAGCGCGCUUGCCGGGCUGGAACGGCGACGGCCUUGACACCAUGGCUGCCACAUUGCCUGCUCCCUCGACUAUGACCAUCGCCCCUGCGCCUGCCUCAACACUGAUAUGAAUUCGUCAGUGGCAGCGGCGGCGGGCAUCCGCAACAACGGCUAGCAGCAGAACAUAACUCACCCCUAUUCCGUUUUCAUCAAGAGGAGGUGCAGUUUUGCGACCGGAGUGGAUGGAAGGCUUGCAGAGCUGCUUGAUAAAGAAAUACUUGUACAAUGCUGUAUUUGAUGAGCGCACUGUGAUACUCUCUGACCAGUUAUCAGCAAGAUUUUUUCAGCAGAGGCCGGAACUAUGACUUUUUCUAAAAAAGUUCAUCAGGAUGUUUCAUGAUUUUAUUAACUGGGAGCGCACUUCUCUAUGGUCCAUUUCUUCUUCAGUGGUCUCAGCCGCCUUCUGAUGCUGGAUGUCUUGCGUUAUCUCGUCUGAAUUUCUGGAGAUGCUAACAAUAUGAGACCAAUUUAGCAGAAAUUUUGAUUUACCAUUUCAAAACAACCCAGAUGUUGCUGAAGUGAGGCUUAUUAUCAGUUUGCUGGCGAGUUGUUGGAUCCACUCAUCUGUCACAACUCUGUUUUCUUUGGUUAAAGAACAACAAGUGGAAGAAUUGUACUGCAUCCAUUGUACAUGUAGAUCCGCUCAUCUGUCAUGAUUUUGUUACUUAAAUGCUGUAUUUCGACCCCUAUAUAUUUGUAACUGGAGUAUGUACGGUGUUUGACAUGAAGCUUUUAACCUUCUAGCAUGAAUCAUAGAGUUUGAGUUUA